GCGGGUAUACCCUCACCCGUCCUAAAUUACUCGCGCGGGUAUCGGAUAUUCGAUACCCGCAAAUUUAAAGAGGAGGGUUGGGUGCGGGUAUCAUAUCUUCAAAAAUGUCGGGUAGAGGCGGGUAUACUGUAUACCCGAGGGUACCCGCAUACCCGCAAAAUUAAUAAUUUAAAAUUAAGUAAUUUUUAGGAAUUAAGAAAUUAGGAAUUGCUGAAUUCUGAUUCUUUCUCUCGCUCUCGACUCGACCCCCACCCACCUUCACUGUUACUGAGUCGUCCGCUGCCCCUGCCUUCUCACUUCGUCCGACAACCGCCUCUCCAGACUCCGGCCAUCCGCGGUUCGCCUCGCCCGCCUCUAUCAGAAAUUGACGCGACGGCGCGAAGUUCGGCGCUUUCUUCUAUCGCGUCGUCGCCACAGCCCACCUCCCACCGGUCGCCAGUCGCCACGCCCGUCGCCACCGCGGUUCGCCUCGCCCGUUGCCACCGCUGUUAGCUUUUAUGCUAGGUACAACUAGAUUGGUUGAUGACUAGUUCUAUUGACAAGAAAGAUGAAGAAGGAGUACCACAUGAAGAAUUACAAAGAGAAUUUGAAAUGAUGUUAGCCCUUCGAGCUGCAGCGACGGGAUCCACACAAAUAGCUCAGAGCGAGAGUGGGAUGGUGUCGAGUCAGAGUUGACGGAGUAGGAUUGGAAACAACCAACUAGCAAGUGCCAGAGGAAUGGAUUUUGCCAUGUGUACACUAUUAAUUUUAUUUUGAAGAUGUGUGAUGGUCCUCUACUAUUACUUUACUAUUGACUUUGUCUUUAUUAGAUUGUUGGAUAACUUGGAUUGA